rnacentral:rRNA from 1 species
GAAUAUUGCACAAUGGAGGAAACUCUGAUGCAGCAACGCCGCGUGGAGGAUGACGCAUUUCGGUGUGUAAACUCCUUUUAAGAGGGAAGAUAAUGACGGUACCUCUUGAAUAAGCACCGGCUAACUCCGUGCCAGCAGCCGCGGUAAUACGGAGGGUGCAAGCGUUACUCGGAAUCACUGGGCGUAAAGGGUGCGUAGGCUGGCUUUUAAGUCAGAUGUGAAAUCCAAUGGCUUAACCAUUGAACUGCAUUUGAAACUGGGAGCCUAGAGUUCAGAAGGGGCAGAUGGAAUUAGUGGUGUAGGGGUAAAAUCCGUAGAUAUCACUAGGAAUAUCAAAAGCGAAGGCGAUCUGCUGGGAUGAUACUGACGCUGAGGCACGAAAGCGUGGGGAGCAAACAG